rnacentral:misc_RNA from 1 species
AGUCUGUUUUUAAAAUUUUAGAGUAUCUGUAAAUAGUAAAAGUGAUACUUUUCUGAGAAGAAUGUUUAUUGAUAUUUAAGUAUGAAGAAAAUUUCAUUGAUUCAAUUAAGACUCGAAUUGGACCAAGGUUACCCUAUAUUGAGUUCGCUUACUUAUAACGCAGAAUCCUACUUAAAAUAUAGUGAAGAUCAGACAACAUCAAUUUUAACUCAUCAUCAAGAGAGUUACAAAGAGAUUCCUGAAAUACACCACGGAAAAAGAACUUUUUUACAGUACACAAUUGAAACUUAUGAUUUAGAUAUGGAAACUAAUAAGAAUGAUUCAACUAUGGAACAUCAAAAAGAGUCUGAUGAUGCAGAUAAAUGUCCUGUUCCUCAUACUGUUCAUUAUUUUUCUGGAAACCCGAAUGUUGAAGUCACUAGAGGAAUUAUGCACUUAUAUAAAGACAAUUGUUUAUCAACGUUAGGUAAUAUUGAUAUUCCAAGAAGUGAUACAAUAUGCAUGUUAGGUGUGCCAGCAAAGUACAGUUGUCAAGAUUUGCAAAACUUUAUUGCUCCCACAGGUGAAACUGUUAGACACAUACAAAUUAUUCGGGACGGCAAUGCAAAUCAAUACAUGGUACUUAUACGGUUUAAAGACCAGGAAAGUUCUGAUGCAUUUUAUCGUGAAUAUGAAGGAAAAGCAUAUAAUAUGCUUGAAGACGAGUGUACCCACCUAAUGUUUGUCUCAAAAGUGGAGUCUGUUGCAACAACAGGGAGUGGUUAUUUACCUGUACCUGGAUUAACUGAGCUUCCUAUUUGUCCUGUAUGUUUGGAACGUAUGGACGAAUCCGUUGAAGGUAUAUUAACCAUUUUAUGUAAUCAUUCCUUUCAUAAUAACUGCUUGAUGAAGUGGCAAGACUCAUGCUGUCCUGUGUGCAGAUAUGUUUUAACUCCAGAAGUGUCUGUUGAUCAAAAAUGUUUUGAAUGUGAUUCAAAUGAGAGUCUUUGGAUUUGUCUUGUUUGUGGACACAUCGGUUGUGGUCGAUACCAGGACUUACAUGCUUAUCAACACUAUCAACAAACAGCACAUACCUAUAGCAUGGAUCUUGGUAACAAAAGGGUCUGGGACUAUGCAGGAGAUAAUUAUGUCCAUAGACUGGUUCAAAAUAAAGGAGAUGGAAAAUUGGUUUCUCUUGAUAAUAGAGAGCAGGUUGAAGGUGAAAAAAUGGAUUCUUUGACUAUUGAGUACACAUACCUGUUAACCAAUCAGUUAGAGUCACAGAGACGUUAUUUUGAAGAGAAGAUUGAUUUUUUAGAGAAAGAUGCUUAUGAAAAGUUGUCUUUAAUGGAGUUAGAGGUUCAUAAUUCUCGCAAAGAGUAUCAUACUCUUGAGCAAAUGUUCGCUAUAAAUGAAAAAGAUAAGAAAAUGUUAGAAAAAAAGUAUGAAAAUGUUGUUGGUAAAUUGGCUAAUAUGUGUAAAGAACUACGUGAUGAAAAGCAGCUGAAUAUAUGUUUGCGUGAGAAUCAGGCUGUGUGGCAAAAAAAAGUUGAGUUGCUUGAAAAUGAAUUGAAAAAAUGUUCUACUGAAAAAAGUGCUGAAAUUUAUGAACUUCAAAACCAAGUUGCUGAUUUAAUUAAACAUUUGGAAGUCCAGUCUGCAGUGAGAAAUGCUAAUGAAGAUGUUAGGGAGGAUAUCCAAGCAGGUCAACUAUUUACAGAAGCCUGUUCUUCAUCUGGAAACGCAAGCAGAAAUACUAAGAAAAAAUCAAAAGCUCGAAAAAAAUAAUCAUAAAUGCUGACAAUAAAGGUUUUUAUGUCAAACUGAAUUUAGUUACAAAUGAUGUUUGCUUUAUAUACCAAUCAUCUUUGAACCUGUGAAAAUUAUUGAAAAAGGUUGACACUAAUGUUACAAGACACGCUAAUGUUACAAGAGAGCUGAAACAAGAAGAUUGGAAUCUUAUGGUUUUUUUAUUAUCUUGGGCUUGAUCAUAUCGGACAUUUCGCUAUCUAUAUAGUUCAUUAUUCCCUGAAAAAAAUCAAAGAAAAGGAUAAUUGAUAAUGAGUUGAUCAUAUCAAACAUUUUGCUGGUCCUUAUAGUUCAUUAAUCCCUGAAAAACUAAAAAAAAAGAUAAUUGAAAGUUUAUAUAUUAGUCUUGUUUAACGUGACAAUAAACUUGGUAGUCAGAGUGUUUUAGUUGUAUGUGGAGAUCAUGGAAUGAGUGAAACUAGUAGUCAUGGUGGUGCUUCAUAUUUUGAAGUAAUGACCCCAUUUUUGCUUUUAGAUACAAAAGGAAAAGUUGCAAAAACUUGAAUAAGUGGCAAAUAAUCUGCAUCUUUUUCAGCUUAUCAAAGUUUACAUUCUUCAGUCAAGGUAAUUCAAUUAAUUUUUCUACAAUUGAUAUAUCAUCUCAUAUGAUUGGUAUGUAUUAUAAUCAACCUAUUAUUGCAAAUGUACUAACAACUUGUUCAACUUAUUAUGGACAGUUAUUUUUGGUUGGUAAGCCUUGUUGAUUUUACUAAAAUGAGGUUAGUUUAUGGUUUAAAAAGUAUUCAUAAAUAUAUUUUUAUAUUAAAGUCAAUCAAGUCAAUGAGAAUAUAAAUGGUGCAACUCAAUUUUUACUCAAUUUUUUU